rnacentral:rRNA from 1 species
AGCAACAAAUGCCCUGCUUCCAGGAAAAGCCUCUAAGCAUCAGGUAACAUCAAAUCGUACCCCAAACCGACACAGGUGGUCAGGUAGAGAAUACCAAGGCGCUUGAGAGAACUCGGGUGAAGGAACUAGGCAAAAUGGUGCCGUAACUUCGGGAGAAGGCACGCUGACACGUAGGUGAAGUGAUUUACUCAUGGAGCUGAAGUCAGUCGAAGAUACCAGCUGGCUGCAACUGUUUAUUAAAAACACAGCACUGUGCAAACACGAAAGUGGACGUAUACGGUGUGACGCCUGCCCGGUGCCGGAAGGUUAAUUGAUGGGGUCAGCGCAAGCGAAGCUCCUGAUCGAAGCCCCGGUAAACGGCGGCCGUAACUAUAACGGUCCUAAGGUAGCGAAAUUCCUUGUCGGGUAAGUUCCGACCUGCACGAAUGGCGUAAUGAUGGCCAGGCUGUCUCCACCCGAGACUCAGUGAAAUUGAACUCGCUGUGAAGAUGCAGUGUACCCGCGGCAAGACGGAAAGACCCCGUGAACCUUUACUAUAGCUUGACACUGAACAUUGAGCCUUGAUGUGUAGGAUAGGUGGGAGGCUUUGAAGCGUGGACGCCAGUCUGCGUGGAGCCGACCUUGAAAUACCACCCUUUAAUGUUUGAUGUUCUAACGUGGACCCGUAAUCCGGGUUGCGGACAGUGUCUGGUGGGUAGUUUGACUGGGGCGGUCUCCUCCUAAAGAGUAACGGAGGAGCACGAAGGUUGGCUAAUCCUGGUCGGACAUCAGGAGGUUAGUGCAAUGGCAUAAGCCAGCUUGACUGCGAGCGUGACGGCGCGAGCAGGUGCGAAAGCAGGUCAUAGUGAUCCGGUGGUUCUGAAUGGAAGGGCCAUCGCUCAACGGAUAAAAGGUACUCCGGGGAUAACAGGCUGAUACCGCCCAAGAGUUCAUAUCGACGGCGGUGUUUGGCACCUCGAUGUCGGCUCAUCACAUCCUGGGGCUGAAGUAGGUCCCAAGGGUAUGGCUGUUCGCCAUUUAAAGUGGUACGCGAGCUGGGUUUAGAACGUCGUGAGACAGUUCGGUCCCUAUCUGCCGUGGGCGCUGGAGAACUGAGGGGGGCUGCUCCUAGUACGAGAGGACCGGAGUGGACGCAUCACUGGUGUUCGGGUUGUCAUGCCAAUGGCACUGCCCGGUAGCUAAAUGCGGAAGAGAUAAGUGCUGAAAGCAUCUAAGCACGAAACUUGCCCCGAGAUGAGUUCUCCCUGAGACUUAGAGUCUCCUGAAGGAACGUUGAAGACGACGACGUUGAUAGGCCGGGUGUGUAAGCGCAGCGAUGCGUUGAGCUAACCGGUACUAAUGAACCGUGAGGCUUAACCUUAC